rnacentral:rRNA from 1 species
UACAGAGGUCCCGAGCGUUGUUCGGAUUCAUUGGGCGUAAAGGGUGCGUAGGCGGCGGGGUAAGUCUGAUGUGAAAUCCUGGGGCUCAACCCUGGAACUGCAUUGGAUACUGCCUUGCUAGAGAACUGGAGAGGAGACUGGAAUUUACGGGUGUAGCAGUGAAAUGCGUAGAGAUCGUAAGGAAGACCAGUGGCGAAGGCGAGUCUCUGGACAGUUACUGACGCUGAGGCACGAAGGCCAGGGGAGCAAACGGG